GCAGCCAUGCCGCGUGUGUGAAGAAGGCCUUCGGGUUGUAAAGCACUUUCAGUUGUGAGGAAAGGGGUGUAGUUAAUAGCUGCAUUCUGUGACGUUAACAACAGAAGAAGCACCGGCUAACUUCGUGCCAGCAGCCGCGGUAAUACGAGGGGUGCAAGCGUUAAUCGGAAUUACUGGGCGUAAAGCGUACGUAGGCGGUUUGAUAAGCAAGAUGUGAAAGCCCAGGGCUCAACCUUGGAACUGCAUUUUGAACUGUCAGACUAGAGUACUGUAGAGGGUGGUGGAAUUUCCAGUGUAGCGGUGAAAUGCGUAGAGAUUGGAAGGAACAUCAGUGGCGAAGGCGGCCACCUGGACAGAUACUGACGCUGAGGUACGAAAGCGUGGGGAGCGAACAGGAUUAGAUACCCUGGUAGUCCACGCCGUAAACGAUGUCAACUAGCCGUUUGUUUCCUAGAGAAGUGAGUGGCGCAGCUAACGCACUAAGUUGACCGCCUGGGGAGUACGGCCGCAAGGUUAAAACUCAAAUGAAUUGACGGGGGCCCGCACAAGCGGUGGAGCAUGUGGUUUAAUUCGAUGCAACGCGAAGAACCUUACCAUCCCUUGACAUCCAGAGAAGCGACUAGAGAUAGACGUGUGCCUUCGGGAACUCUGUGACAGGUGCCGCAUGGCUGUCGUCAGCUCGUGUUGUGAAAUGUUGGGUUAAGUCCCGCAACGAGCGCAACCCCUAUCCUUAUUUGCCAGCGCGUAAUGGCGGGAACUCUAAGGAGACUGCCGGUGAUA
rnacentral:rRNA from 1 species